AAGAUCUUAAACAAACUCAAAAAUGGUGUUCUGCAAGAAUUCACUAGCUCUCUUUUGCCUCAUUAGCCUAGCCUGCUUAAUCCUACCCUUGAAUGCCCAAGACUCACCACAAGACUACCUUAAUGCCCAUAACCAAGCACGAGCAGCUGUGGGUGUUGGACCUAUGACUUGGGACAACAAAGUGGCAGCCUUUGCACAAAACUAUGCUAAUCAACG
rnacentral:misc_RNA from 1 species